UAAUUGGAGGGCAAGUCUGGUGCCAGCAGCCGCGGUAAUUCCAGCUCCAAUAGCGUAUAUUAAAGUUGUUGCAGUUAAAAAGCUCGUAGUUGAACCUUGGGCCUGGCUGGCCGGUCCGUCUCACGGCGUGCACUGGUCCGGCUGGGCCUUUCCUCUUGGGGAACCCCAUGGCCUUCACUGGCCGUGGGCGGAACCAGGGCUUUUACUGUGAAAAAAUUAGAGUGUUCAAAGCAGGCCUUUGCUCGGAUACAUUAGCAUGGAAUAAUAGAAUAGGACGUGUGGUUCUAUUUUGUUGGUUUCUAGGACCGCCGUAAUGAUUAAUAGGGAUAGUCGGGGGCGUCAGUAUUCGGCUGUCAGAGGUGAAAUUCUUGGAUUUGCCGAAGACUAACUACUGCGAAAGCAUUCGCCAAGGAUGUUUUCAUUAAUCAGUGAACGAAAGUUAGGGGAUCGAAGACGAUCAGAUACCGUCGAGUCUUGCACCCCGCCG
rnacentral:rRNA from 1 species